rnacentral:rRNA from 1 species
GGGGAAUAUUGCGCAAUGGGCGGAAGCCUGACGCAGCGACGCCGCGUGAGGGAUGACGGCCUUCGGGUUGUAAACCUCUUUCAGCAGGGACGAAUGUAGACGGUACCUGUAGAAGAAGCACCGGCCAACUACGUGCCAGCAGCCGCGGUAAUACGUAGGGUGCGAGCGUUGUCCGGAAUUAUUGGGCGUAAAGAGCUCGUAGGCGGUCUGUCGCGUCGAAUGUGAAAACCCGGGGCUCAACUCCGGGCUUGCAUUCGAUACGGGCAGGCUAGAAUUCGGUAGGGGAGUCUGGAAUUCCUGGUGUAGCGGUGAAAUGCGCAGAUAUCAGGAGGAACACCGGUGGCGAAGGCGGGACUCUGGGCCGAUACUGACGCUGAGGAGCGAAAGCGUGGGGAGCGAAC